UCGAGUCCCUCCAUGAGAGAGUGAGAACGUGUAACAUUAACCGUCGCGAACAAAGCCAGUUUUGCGAGCGCAAUUCUGCUUUCCAGAUGGAUGUCCUUUUGCCGCAUCCGGCUUUGCUUCCUUCGAAGCAAGAAGGAGCGCGGGAAUAAAGACCUCGGCGUGGUUUGCGCCAAGGACGGACGUUGUUGGAGUGCAUUGCCUACUUUACGUGGUGCGGUGUAUCCUCCUACCGGUGUGAGAAUACGCAUGACUCUUGGCAACGGAUAUCUAGGCUCUCGCGUCGAUGAAGAACGUAGCAAAAUGCGAUACUUGGUGUGAAUUGCAGAAUCCCGUGAACCAUCGAGUCUUUGAACGCAAGUUGCGCCUAAGACCGUCAGGUCAAGGGCACGUCUGCUUGGGCGUCGCGCCUUACGUCACUCCAAACCCCUGCCUCGCGUAGACCACUAUGCCGGUGAGGGCGCGUGCGGAUGUGGAUAGUGACCCUCCGUGCUUUCGCUGCGCGGCGGGUUUGAGUGAUGGUCGUUGCUAGGUUUUGCACGCGGCGAAUGGUGGAUUAGAGUAUGCGCCUGCAGUUGUGCACAAAGCUCCUAGCCACGACUUACAAUAAGUAAAACCCGUGACGACGUUUGCACAUUUUGCAAACUCGGACC
rnacentral:misc_RNA from 1 species